rnacentral:rRNA from 1 species
CCUACGGGGGGCAGCAGUGGGGAAUAUUGGGCAAUGGGCGCAAGCCUGACCCAGCAACGCCGCGUGAAGGAAGAAGGCUUUCGGGUUGUAAACUUCUUUUAAGGGGGAAGAGCAGAAGACGGUACCCCUUGAAUAAGCCACGGCUAACUACGUGCCAGCAGCCGCGGUAAUACGUAGGUGGCAAGCGUUGUCCGGAGUUACUGGGUGUAAAGGGCGUGCAGCCGGAGAGACAAGUCAGAUGUGAAAUCCACGGGCUCAACCCGUGAACUGCAUUUGAAACUGUUUCCCUUGAGUGUCGGAGAGGUAAUCGGAAUUCCUUGUGUAGCGAUGAAAUGCGUAGAUAUAAGGAAGAACACCAGUGGCGAAGGCGGAUUACUGGACGAUAACUGACGGUGAGGCGCGAAAGCGUGGGGAGCAAACAGGAUUAGAUACCCCUGUAGUC